AUACGGAGGAUCCGAGCGUUAUCCGGAUUUAUUGGGUUUAAAGGGUGCGCAGGCGGCCAUUUAAGUCAGCGGUUAAAUCGUGGGGCUCAACCCCAUUCUGCCGUUGAUACUGGGUGGCUUGAUUGCGGUCGAGGUUGGCGGAAUUCGUUGUGUAGCGGUGAAAUGCAUAGAUAUGACGAAGAACACCGAUUGCGUAGGCAGCUGACCAGAUCGCAAAUGACGCUCAUGCACGAAAGUGCGGUGAUCGAACAGGAUUAGAUACCCUGGUAGUCCGCACAGUAAACGAUGAAUACUUGUUUUCGGCGAUAUAAUGUCGGAGGCAAAGCGAAAGCGAUAAGUAUUCCACCUGGGGAGUACGCCGGCAACGGUGAAACUCAAAUGAAUUGACGGGG
rnacentral:rRNA from 1 species